UGAUUUCUGACAUCCAGGAACAGAAAAGCAAAAUUCCUUACCUGCCAGCUCUUCAAGAGAAAGUGAGAAGUGGAAUUAGGUUGAAGAAUGCUGUUAGGAGUCAGGAAUGAGGAACACCUGGAAUCUACCCUCCAACACAAGAUGAAUUAUUCACCAGUUCUUUAGCAUUUGGGGAAAAAAUUUGUGAACCCAGUUGUGGAACAGGAACUACACCUAGGAAUUUCAAAUGCACCUAUGUCCUGCUUUUUUAGAAGGGACACCAGAGUGAUAAAGAAUUCUUCAAAAAAAAUGUUGUCAUCAAAGUAUUAAGUAGAAGAGCGAAAUUCAGAAGGACACUCUUGGUCAUCUACUGCAUCAUCAGACUUCUGAACCAGACUUCUUCCAUGAUGAUGGUAUGUUGCCGUAGCAGCUUCUAUCUUCUGAGAGAGCAACCCAAGAAAACCAAAGGACCAGCUGGUACCUGGCUUAUGCACAGAUGAACAAGGCAUGGAGUGGGGCUCAAGAAGUCUCUGUCUCUGAUAUAUUAUCUUGUGCUGUAGCUGGGCACAGUCACAGUCCACAUGUGAGUGCCUGGUCUGCUAUCUACUCAUGCUUUUGUGUCUCUAAAGGAGACACAAAGAGGCAGAACAGCAGUUCCAUUCCCACCCACCAGAGGAUCUGGCCAGGUGAAGACAAUCCAUUCAUCAUAUCUCUCUAAAUAUAUGGAAUUUUACUGAGCUUUCACAUAUCAAUACCUAUCAGAAUAAAAGAAAAAAAGUCUUUCCACAGGCAUAUUUCAAGUAUCAGCAAGUUAAGCUCUCCUGAGGGUGAGAAUUCUUUUUUAAGUUAUUUUUAUAUAUAUGGCAGACUGUUUUACUAA